AAGCACAUGGCUCAAUGGUAGAGCUACGGUUUCCAAAACCGUCGGUUGAGGGUUCGAUUCCUUCUGUGCUU
rnacentral:tRNA from 1 species